rnacentral:rRNA from 1 species
GAGUUUGAUCCUGGCUCAGGACGAACGCUGGCGGCGUGCUUAACACAUGCAAGUCGAGCGACGCACUCUUUCGGGGGUGACGGAGCGGCGAACGGGUGAGUAACACGUGGGCAACCUGCCCUCAGCUCUGGGACAACUCCGGGAAACCGGGGCUAAUACCGGAUACGACAUCGGAUCGCAUGGUCUGGUGUGGAAAGUUUUUCGGCUGGGGAUGGGCCCGCGGCCUAUCAGCUUGUUGGUGGGGUGAAGGCCUACCAAGGCGACGACGGGUAGCCGGCCUGAGAGGGCGAUUGGCCACACUGGGACUGAGACACGGCCCAGACUCCUACGGGAGGCAGCAGUGGGGAAUAUUGCGCAAUGGGCGAAAGCCUGACGCAGCGACGCCGCGUGGGGGAUGAAGGCC